GGUUGAUCCUGCCGGAGGCCACUGCUAUCGGGGUUCGAUUAAGCCAUGCGAGUCGAGAGGUGCAAGACCUCGGCAUACUGCUCAGUAACACGUGGACAACCUACCCUGAGGAGGGGGAUAACCCCGGAAAACUGGGGAUAAUACCCCAUAGGCCAGGGAUGCUGGAAUGCCUCCUGGUUGAAAGGUCCGCCGCCUCAGGAUGGGUCUGCGGCCGAUUAGGUUGUUGUUGGGGUAACGGCCCAACAAGCCAUUGAUCGGUACGGGUUGUGGGAGCAAGAGCCCGGAGAUGGAUUCUGAGACACGAAUCCAGGCCCUACGGGGCGCAGCAGGCGCGAAAACUUUACAAUGCGAGAAAUCGUGAUAAGGGAACCCCGAGUGCCCGUAAAUUCGGGCUGUCCAUCAGUGUAAAAAACUGGUGAAGAAAGGGCCGGGCAAGACCGGUGCCAGCCGCCGCGGUAAUACCGGCGGCUCGAGUGGUGGCCGCUAUUAUUGGGCUUAAAGCGUCCGUAGCUGGGUUGUUAAGUCUCCUGGGAAAUCCACCGGCUCAACCGGUGGGCGUUCGGGAGAAACUGGCAACCUAGGGACCGGGAGAGGUGAGAGGUACUCCAGGGGUAGGAGUGAAAUCCUGUAAUCCUUGGGGGACCACCUGUGGCGAAGGCGUCUCACUAGAACGGCUCCGACAGUGAGGGACGAAAGCUGGGGGAGCAAACCGGAUUAGAUACCCGGGUAGUCCCAGCUGUAAACGAUGCGCGUUAGGUGUAUCGGUGACCACGAGUCACCGAGGUGCCGAAGGGAAACCGUGAAACGUGCCGCCUGGGAAGUACGGUCGCAAGGCUGAAACUUAAAGGAAUUGGCGGGA
rnacentral:rRNA from 1 species